rnacentral:rRNA from 1 species
CAUCAGAGUUCGAUUAAGCCAUGUUAGUUGAGGGUGGCUCUUCUUCGGAAGAGGGAACCGGCAGACGGCUCAGUAACACGUGGACAACUUACCCUUAGGACCGGGAUAACUCCUGGGAAACUGGAGAUAAUACCGGAUAGAGCAUCGAAUGCUGGAAUGCACGAUGCUCAAAAGCUGAGGUGCCUAAGGAUAGGUCUGCGGCCGAUUAGGUUGUUGUUGAUGUGAUGGAUUAACAAGCCUACGAUCGGUAUGGGUUGUGAGAGCAAUAGCCCAGAGAUGGGUUCUGAGAAAAGAACCCAGGUCCUACGGGACGCAUCAGGCGCGAAAACUUUACAAUGUGCGAAAGCACGAUAAGGGAACUCUGAGUGCCUCCUACGGAGGCUGUUCAGUUGUCUAAAACGCAUCUGAAGGAAGGGCUGGGUAAGACCGGUGCCAGCCGCCGCGGUAACACCGGCAGCCCAAGUGGUAGCCAUGUUUAUUGGGUCUAAAGCGUCCGUAGCCGGCCAAGUAAGUUCCUUGGGAAAUUUGAUCGCUUAACGGUCAAGCUUUCGGGGAAUACUGCUUGGCUUGGGACCGGGAGAGGUCAGAGGUACUCCAAGGGUAGGGGUGAAAUCCAUUAAUCCUUGGGGGACCACCGGUAGCGAAGGCGUCUGACCAGACCGGAUCCGACGGUGAGGGACGAAGGCUAGGGUCGCGAACCGGAUUAGAUACCCGGGUAGUCCUAGCUGUAAACGAUGCGGGCUAGGUGUUGGCAUUACUGCGAGUGAUGUCAGCGCCGAAGGGAAGCCGUUAAGCCCGCCAUCUGGGGAGUACGGUCGCAAGGCUGAAACUUAAAGGAAUUGGCGGGGGAGCACCACAACAGGUGGAGCCUGCGGUUC